UACGGGGGGGGCAAGCGUUGUUCGGAAUUACUGGGCGUAAAGGGCUCGUAGGCGGUCAACUAAGUCAUACGUGAAAUCCCUCGGCUUAACCGGGGAACUGCGUCUGAUACUGGAUGGCUUGAGUUCGGGAGAGGGAUGCGGAAUUCCAGGUGUAGCGGUGAAAUGCGUAGAUAUCUGGAGGAACACCGGUGGCGAAGGCGGCAUCCUGGACCGAUACUGACGCUGAGGAGCGAAAGCCGGGGGAGCAAACGGG
rnacentral:rRNA from 1 species